GACUAUGAUUUGUGUGAAAUUCUAAGUGGCCCCAAGAUGUUGUAGACAGUAUUUUUUCUAUAAAUGUAGUAGUACAUGAAAACCUUACUUUUACUUGACAUUUGAUUAUCUUCUUCCACUAGCUUUUGCAAUUCAUCAUACUUGAUGCAGUAACAGACAAGAAAGUCAUCUCUGCCCCAGAGACACUACAAUCUAGUCUAAGGAAAUGGUAGUUUGCAUUUUCCAUUCAAGAAAAUCAAAGUGGUUUACAAAUAUUAAUGAACAGGACGCAUCACAUCCUUGUCAGAAUCACCUCUGUUCCUGCACACGUGAGUUGGAGCUCCCUGGUGUUGAGUUCACAGAAACUCUACCAAAGCCACGUCCAUUUGGGCUGGACAAGUGCCCCUGGUGACAUCAACAUAUGACGCUUGAGUGCAACCCCUAACCACCUCAGCUUCUUUUCCUGAACUACUGAGAAGACUCUUGAAGAAAGUUAUCAGUAAAAUAUCUCUUCACUGGCGCACAGUCCUUCAAAGUCCUCUGUGCAUGCACACUUGUGGGACAGUAAAGAGCAACACCUCUUGGAAUGGAUGGAAGGCCAAGGAACUCUCAAGUCUCGCAUCUAACUCUGAGAAUAAGACUAAUGCACAGUGCUUAGUAAAAGCAUGAACUGAACUCCAUGUGGCUGUGCUAUACAUUUCUCCUACGGGAAUCUGUCCUUAAAUGUGUCACAAACAGCAGUAGCAGGGUGAAUAAAAAUCAAUGAUUUUAAAAAAUAAAAAUAAUUAGAUUUUUUAUUCAAAUUGGAUUUUUUUUUAUUUAAAUCAGAUUUUUUUGAUAAAAUG